rnacentral:sRNA from 1 species
GUACGUGUCCCGCCCCUCGCUGCCCGGAGCCCGGAUGACGAGUAACGCCAUUACCGCCGGAGCGCCGAGAGCCUUAGCCGACGGAAACUGGACACCGGACCGGCAGCGCCAUGAGACUCCUCCCCCGCUUGCUGCUGCUUCUCUUACUCGUAUUCCCUGCCACUGUCUUGUUCCGAGGCGGCCCCAGAGGCUCGUUAGCAGUGGCACAAGAUCUUACAGAGGAUGAAGAAACAGUAGAAGAUUCCAUAAUUGAGGAUGAAGAUGAUGAAGCCGAGGUAGAAGAAGAUGAACCCACAGAUUUGAAGAUAAAGAGGAAGAAGAUGUGUCUGGUGAACCUGAAGCUUCACCGAGUGCAGAUACAACUAUACUGUUUGUAAAAGGAGAAGAUUUUCCAGCAAAUAACAUUGUGAAGUUCCUGGUAGGCUUUACCAACAAGGGUACAGAAGAUUUUAUUGUUGAAUCCUUAGAUGCCUCAUUCCGUUAUCCUCAGGACUACCAGUUUUAUAUCCAGAAUUUCACAGCUCUUCCUCUGAACACUGUAGUGCCACCCCAGAGACAGGCAACUUUUG